UCCGAGUUGACCCCGGCAGUCUCCCAUGAGUCCCCAACCAAAUGCUGGCAACACAGGACGAGGGUUGCGCUCGUUGCGGGACUUAACCCAACAUCUCACGACACGAGCUGACGACAGCCAUGCAGCACCUGUCCUGGUGUCCCGAAGGAGGCCCCUGCUUUCACAGGGGUUUCACCAGGAUGUCAAGUCCAGGUAAGGUUCUUCGCGUUGCUUCGAAUUAAACCACAUGCUCCUCCGCUUGUGCAGGCCCCCGUCAAUUUCUUUGAGUUUUAACCUUGCGGCCGUACUCCCCAGGCGGAUGACUUAAUGCGUUAGCUGCGCCACCGAAGGCCGAAGGCCCCCGACAGCUAGUCAUCAUCGUUUACGGCGUGGACUAA
rnacentral:misc_RNA from 1 species